GACGAACGCUGGCGGCGUGCUUAACACAUGCAAGUCGAACGGAAAGGCCCUGCCUUUGUGGGGUGCUCGAGUGGCGAACGGGUGAGUAACACGUGAGUAACCUGCCCUUUACUUUGGGAUAACUUCAGGAAACUGGGGCUAAUACCGGUUAUGAGCUCCUGCUGCUUGGUGGGGGUUGGAAAGUUUCGGCGGGUGGGGAUGGACUCGCGGCUUAUGAGCUUGUUGGUGGGGUAGUGGCUUACCAAGGCUUUGCAGGGUAGCCGGCCUGGGAGGGUGACCGGGCACAGUGGGACUGAGGUACGGCCCAGAGUGCUACGGGAGGCAGCGGUGGGGAAUAUUGCACAAUGGGCGGAAGCCUGAUGCAGAAGCGCCGCGUGCGGGAUGACGGCCUUCGGGGAGUAAACCGCUUUCGCCUGUGACGAAGCGUGAGUGACGGUAAUGGGUAAAGAAGCACCGGCUAACUACGUG
rnacentral:rRNA from 1 species